rnacentral:rRNA from 1 species
AAACCGUUGAAAGGGAAGCGAAUGGAGUUAGCAAUUCGUUUGUCAGAUUCAGUUGCAUGCACGCAACGACGUGCGCGCCCUUGAUCCGCAUGGACAAGGCGUGUCCGGAUGUGACGUGCAAGCAGCGCACUUCUGGCAGGCGAGCGUCAGCGUCGGUUGUUGUGGAGCGAAAAAGUUGCGGGGAAGGUAGGCGAAUUCUCGUUGUUAAGCCCUGCAUUCGCAUAUCUCCACGACGACCGUGGCACUGCGACGCGUGCUUUGCUGGCAACCCAAUUUCUCGGUCCGACAUGUCAACCGUGGUGGACGGCACGCCUGUGCACUCGAACCGCUGUCGGUCGUGUAUUGGUGUUUGCACAAUACGCGUCAAGGAUGCUGACGAUCAUACGGCUCUAUCCGACCCGUCU